UACGGGGGGGGCAAGCGUUGUUCGGAAUUACUGGGCGUAAAGGGCUCGUAGGCGGCCAACUAAGUCAGACGUGAAAUCCCUCGGCUUAACCGGGGAACUGCGUCUGAUACUGGAUGGCUUGAGUUUGGGAGAGGGAUGCGGAAUUCCAGGUGUAGCGGUGAAAUGCGUAGAUAUCUGGAGGAACACCGGUGGCGAAGGCGGCAUCCUGGACCAACACUGACGCUGAGGAGCGAAAGCCAGGGGAGCCAAAGCGGG
rnacentral:rRNA from 1 species